rnacentral:snRNA from 1 species
AUACUUAGCUGGCAGAGGAGAUAUCAUGAUCAUGAAAGUGCUUUUCCCAGGGUGAGAAUUUAUUUCCUUUACAUUCUGGAUGUGCUCACUCCUGCAAUUUCCCCAAUUGCCUGAAACUUGACUGCAUAAUUUGUGGGAGUGGAGUAUUGCAUUCAUGCUUUCCCUUA